CCCUUAGAUGUUCUGGGCCGCACGCGCGCUACACUGACGAAUGCAACGAGCUUAUAACCUUGGCCGAAAGGUCUGGGUAAUCUCCAAAUUUCGUCGUGAUGGGGAUAGAUUAUUGCAAUUAUUAAUCUUCAACGAGGAAUGCCUAGUAAGCGCAAGUCACCAGCUUGCGUUGAUUACGUCCCUGCCCUUUGUACACACCGCCCGUCGCUCCUACCGAUUGAAUGGUCCGGUGAAGCGUUCGGACCGUGGCCUUUGGACGGUUCGCCGUCUGUUGGCUGCGGGAAGUUCGUUAAACCUUAUCAUUUAGAGGAAGGAGAANUCGUAACA
rnacentral:rRNA from 1 species